ACAUGCAAGUCGAGCGAGACCUUCGGGUCUAGCGGCGGACGGGUUAGUAACGCGUGGGAACGUGCCCUUCUCUGCGGAAUAGCCACUGGAAACGGUGAGUAAUACCGCAUACGCCCUUCGGGGAAAGAUUUAUCGGAGAAGGAUCGGCCCGCGUUAGAUUAGAUAGUUGGUGGGUAACGGCCUACCAAGUCUACGAUCUAUAGCUGGUUUUAGAGGAUGAUCAGCAACACUGGGACUGAGACACGGCCCAGACUCCUACGGGAGGCAGCAGUGGGGAAUCUUAGACAAUGGGCGCAAGCCUGAUCUAGCCGUGCCGCGUGUGUGAUGAAGGUCUUAGGAUCGUAAAGCACUUUCGCCAGGGAUGAUAAUGACAGUACCUGGUAAAGAAACCCCGGCUAACUCCGUG
rnacentral:rRNA from 1 species